CAGUAGCCGCGGGAAUACGUAGGUGGCAAGCGUUGUCCGGAAUUAUUGGGCGUAAAGCGCACGUAGGCGGUUAUUCAAGUCAGAGGUGAAAGCCCGGGGCUCAACCCCGGAACUGCCUUUGAAACUAGAUGACUAGAAUCUUGGAGAGGUCAGUGGAAUUCCGAGUGUAGAGGUGGAAUUCGUAGAUAUUCGGAAGAACACCAGUGGCGAAGGCGACUGACUGGACAAGUAUUGACGCUGAGGUGCGAAAGCGUGGGGAGCAAACAGGAUUAGAUACCCCCGUAGUCCCUGUCUCUUAUAA
rnacentral:rRNA from 1 species